rnacentral:rRNA from 1 species
UACGUAGGGGGCAAGCGUUGUCCGGAAUUAUUGGGCGUAAAGAGCGCGUAGGCGGUCCGAUAAGUCGGCUGUGAAAGUCAGGGGCUCAACCCUUGAAAGCCGGCCGAUACUGUCGGACUAGAGUCCGGAAGAGGCAAGUGGAAUUCCCGGUGUAGCGGUGAAAUGCGCAGAUAUCAGGAGGAACACCGGUGGCGAAGGCGGUUCUCUGGGCAUGUCCUGACGCUGAGGAGCGAAAGUGUGGGGAGCGAACAGG